rnacentral:rRNA from 1 species
CCUUAACCUGCUAAAUAGUGUCGCGAACCUGCGUUCGUGGAUGCUUCUUAGAGGGACUGACCACGUUUAGUGGUAGGAAGUUUGAGGCAAUAACAGGUCUGUGAUGCCCUUAGAUGUUCUGGGCCGCACGCGCGCUACACUGACAAAGUCAGCGAGUAUAUAACCUUGGCCGGAAGGCCUGGGCAAUCUUGUGAAACUUUGUCGUGCUGGGGAUAGACCAUUGCAAUUAUUGGUCUUCAACGAGGAAUUCCUAGUAAGCGCAAGUCAUCAGCUUGCGUUGAUUACGUCCCUGCCCUUUGUACACACCGCCCAUCGCUACUACCGAUUGAAUGGCUUAGUGAGGCCUACGGAUUUGGGCAGUGGCCGCAAGGCUGCUAGCUCGGAGAAGCCGGUCAAACUUGGUCAUUUAGAGGAAGUAAAAGUUG